CUUAUUAUCUUAUAAGAGUGACGGGCGAUUUGUGCAUAGAAAAUUCCAUUUCCAUUUUUAUAAAAUCUAGUAAGAUUAUUAAUUUUAAGUCCUUUUUCUCUCUUAUUCCUUUAUAGUUUCAUUAAUUAUUUUUUGUAUCCCAUAGAAUUCUAAAAUAUAACCCUUGUCUUGAUUUGUUUUACUUUUCUUUAAAACUUUAAGCCCAUCCUUCUAUUUUUGCUUUAAAACAAUGAUAUAAGAAGUAAUUCUUUUAGUUCAUUUUAUCGUGGGCUGUCGAUUACAAUACAGGAUCCCCUAUUUUGGAUUUCUACCGCCAUUCCAUUUAGGUUUUAUUUAUGUAAUUACUAACUUUCUUUAAUUUAAAA
rnacentral:rRNA from 1 species